UUCCAGCAUUUUCUAUUUAGCUAUCAAACAGCGCCAAGUGUGCCUGCCCCACAUUCCAGCAAGAGCACCGUGAGCUUUUCGCUCCCGGGGCCGUUCAUGUCAAGGCAACACAUUUGAUGUGGACUCUUGAUUGGAUCAUGGCUUCCCCUGGUAAAAAAAAAAACGGUGGCCAACAUGGCGGAACGUCACUUGUGGUAUCAAAGUCGGGACAGUGAGCGGACCUCCAGGUCAAAGAACAGGAAGCAUUUGACCUGGCAAUUGAUCCUAAUGCGCCAAAGCGUGGCUGUGACGCAUCUGCUCGGAUCCAUCACAACAAGAGACUUACCGUGGGUGAUCCCGAGGCUCUGGCGUUCAAAGCGCAGCAUCCCAGAAUAUGGCGGGAUCCUCAUUCAAGGCCGCUGGUCACUCGGGAAAAUAUUGGACCCUUUUCCCUGCCGCCGAGAAAAAAAUCUUGAAAGGAAAACGACACGCUUCGAGAUAUCUAAUCAAGGACAAGUCAGCCAACCAGCUCCUAACCAGUUGAGGUUGAGACUCUGGAGUCACGAUCGGCCAAGGCCGGGGCCUUCUACGUAAUUCUCCCCGCAGGUAAAACGAAUACUGGUUGUCUUCUCCUCUUUGUUAAAGUGUGUAAAAUAAUGUCUGAUGGUACUUAAACCUGACACUAACCCUUCAGCUUUCAGAGAAGAAUGAAACCGUGCGUGAAAUUGCAACGAUGUCAAGCAAGAUAUUUGUGUAGCGAGCAUCAACGAACCUAUUUUGCUUCUUCUUUGGCUUACUGUGACUUUAGAGAAGUGGCAGUGUUGAAAAUGCUCGUGCUGCUGGGAAUAAGCCAAAGGGAACUUUUGCCUCGAUGGCCGUCCCUCAGGGGCCAAACAAUAGAAGGCGGGACAAAAGUGGGCGUCGGCAACCUCCCAUCGUGCUGGCUAAAGAGAGUGUGGGAGUGCAUCAAAGUGCAAUGGUUGCCCGUCACGCCGAGCGACAAAAGCCCUCACGGGACAGCAUCAUCUCUCGCUGGCUGUCAAGAUAGUCGGAGUCGCUCUGCCGGCAUGCGCAUUGCGUCGCGUUAUGGGGGUGAGCAUGAGAUAAUGCUCAAGCAAACAUACCGCCCACUUGUCGCCACCUGCAACAGCAAAAUCCUCUCUCCUUUGUGUAACUCUUAAAAUGUACAUUUGAGAGAAGGAAGAGCGGGAGUGGAUUUGAAAUAGGGUCAAAUCGACAUCGCAAUGUAAUAAAAUCCAAAUCACAAAAGCUUUUGUCAAUAGAAAAAAAAGGUGUUGUAUUAUAUCUAUUUGAUAAGAUGAAUUCAGUGCUUAAGGAGUAAAACAUCUUGCGCAAUACAGCUUUUCCCAUGGGUGGCAAUUAACCACUAUGACAUUUCUACCUGGAGAAAGGAAGGAAUGUUGGAAGAAAAACAAUACAGAGCUGGUAAGGAGAUAAGGAAGGCACAAAGGCAGGUUGAAGUGACUCGAGCAAAGAUGGAAAGUGCAACGGUGCGAAAGAAGGCAGGGAGAAAGCUCGGAAACGACAAGCGUGUCGGAAAAAAGGCGCCUUUUACGGGCUCGGUUCACAAAGGCUAAGGUUCAGGUUGUUGCAAUUCCACUCCAACCCUGUAGGUGUCUCUCCUGCAAAUCGUUCACUGUCAAAACAAAUCAAGCAAACGUUUCCACCAUCUGUUCACAUGCUACAUGCUAAAAACAGCUAACAAAACAAUAAUAGUACCAAACAGGACAUAGUCAAAGCAGAAAAGUCUUCAGAACCUUUCAGAAUAUGUUUCAACAUUGUCCAAAGUCAAUGGAAAAAAGUCCAACACAAACUAUCAAAGGAAAUGAAGAGUCGCUGUAGUUCGAGGCCACGCUCACACUUAGCACGAGCCGUUAGCCCGCGUGGCAACAGCAAUUCAAUCUUCAGAAUGAAAAGUAGCCUGUCACAUGACAAGGUUAGCUUGGGAUGGAAUGGCUCUCAUUAAAAUGAUACGAGCUCAAAAUGUCCCUGGACACUUUUGUGCUUUUGUGUGUGAGUGUGUGUGUAUUGUGUGUGUGUGUGUGUGUGUGUGCGUGUGUGUAUGGUUCGUCGUCAUCAGCCGGCUCAGCCCAACUUAAUGACCUGGAAAACUCAGUCAAAGGGCAGCCAGGCAGACGGCCUUUAAACAUGGCGGCUCACGCCACCUCAAAUGAUGUUCACACGGCGAACUUUCACCCCGACUUUUUGUCCAUCCAUUCCGUCGUGACUUUUUCUUCAUAACUUUGAAUCGAGAAUGAAACAACGAGCUAAAAAGAAAUGGCAAAGAUGUGAAGCUCGAGAAUCAAGCACUGACUCAAUUAGCAAAUCAGACGACCGCGAUAUUGAUGAAAAGGAAAAAUGAAAAGAAGAAGGUGAAAACGGAAACAACACGAGAAGAAAUUAUGCGAAACACUUCAGACUUAACGAGCAUCGAGGCUACCGACCGUAACAUUGCCGAGUCUGGGUCCAGGGCGUGUGCGCAUAUGCAGCCAUUACACUCCGACUGACAGAAGGCAUCAGUGUCGGGGUCAGAGGCUAAUUAAGCAGUGAGGACCCUCUGCCCCCGUAUUGUUAACCAAUCUGUCCCCGCUCCAAGA